rnacentral:misc_RNA from 1 species
CGAACUGCGAUAAGUAAUGUGAAUUGCAGAAUUCAGUGAAUCAUCGAAUCUUUGAACUCACCUUGCGCUCCUUGGUAUUCCUUGGAGCAUGCCUGUUUGAGUAUCAUGAAAUCUUCAAAGUAAAUCUUUUGUUAACUCAAUUGGUUUCUACUUUGGUAUUGGAGGUCUUUGCAGCUUCACACCUGCUCCUCUUUGUUCAUUAGCUGGAUCUCAGUGUUAUGCUUGGUUCCACUCGGCGUGAUAAGUUAUCUAUCGCUGAGGACACUGUAAAAGGUGGCCAAGGUAAAUGCAGAUGAACCGCUUCUAAUAGUCCAUUGACUUGGACAAUACUUUUAUGAUCUGAUCUCAAAUCAGGUAGGACUACCCGCUGAACUUAAGC